CGGAUGAGCGGACUACCGAAAAUAAAACUGGAAGUUUUUCGUGCUCUUCUCUUUUAUAUUUAUGCAUUGCAUUUACUUUAUCAUAUUGCAUAUAGAGUUAGGAUUAUUUUUAGUCCCGGGACUUGCAUGCAUGCAUUAAUUUUGUUUCUUAAUUUUAUACUAACAUAUUUUUUAGUGUUUUUGGUUUGUAGGUACAGCUUUUGGGGAGAGCGACCGGAUGAGCGGACUACCGAAAACAAAACAGGGAGUUUUUCGUUGUCUUCUCUUUUAUAUUUAUGCAUUGAAUUUAUUUUAUCAUAUCGCAUAUAGAGUUAGGAUUAUUUUUAGUCCCGGGACUUGCAUGCAUGCAUUAAUUUUGUUUCUUAAUUUUAUACUAACAUAUAUUUUUAGUGUUUUUGGUUUGUAGGUACAGCUUUUGGGGAGAGCUGCCGGUUGAGCAGACUACCGAAAACAAAACAGGGAGUUUUUCGUACUCUUCUCUUUUAUAUUUAUGCAUUGCAUUUAUUUUAUCAUAUUGCAUAUAGAGUUAGGAUUAUUUUUACGUCCCGGGACUUGCAUGCAUGCAUUAAUUUUGUUUCUUAAUUUUAUACUAACAUAUUUUUUAGUGUUUUUGGUUUGUAGGUACAGCUUUUGGGGAGAGCGGCCGGAUGAGUGGACUACCGAAAACAAAACAUGGAGUUUUUCGUACUAUUCUCUUUUACAUUUAUGUAUUGCUUUUAUUUUAUCAUAUUGCGUAUAGAGUUAGGAUUAUUUUUAGUCCCGGGACUUGCAUGCAUGCAUUAAUUUUGUUUCUUAAUUUUAUACUAACAUAUUUUUUAGUAUUUUUGGUUUGUAGGUACAGCUUUUGGGGAGAGCGGCCGGAUGAGCGGACUACCGAAAAUAAAACAGGGAGUUUUUCAUACUCUUCUUUCUCUUUUACAUUUAUGCAUUGCUUUUAUUUUAUCAUAUUGCAUAUAGAGUUAGGAUUAUUUUUAGUCCCGGGACUUGCAUGCAUGCAUUAAUUUUGUUUCUUAAUUUUAUACUAACAUAUUUUUUAGUGUUUUUGGUUUGUAGGUACAGCUUUUGGGGAGAGCGGCCGGAUGAGCGGACUACCGAAAAUAAAACAGGAAGUUUUUCGUGCUCUUCUGUUUUAUAUUUAUGCAUUGCAUUUACUUUAUCAAAUUGCAUAUAGAGUUAGGAUUAUUUUUAGUCCCGGGACUUGCAUGUAUGCAUUAAUUUUGUUUCUUAAUUUUUUACUAACAUAUUUUUUAGUGUUUUUGGUUUGUAGGUACAGCUUUUGGGGAGAGCGGCCGGAUGAGCGGACUACCGAAAACAAAACAGGGAGUUUUUCGUACUCUUCUCUUUUAUAUUUAUGAAUUGCAUUUAUUUUAUCAUAUCACAUAUAGAGUUAGGAUUAUUUUUAGUCCCGGGACUUGCAUGCAUGCAUUAAUUUUGUUUCUUAAUUUUAUACUAACAUAUUUUUUAGUGUUUUUGAUUUGUAGGUACAGCUUUUGGGGAGAACAGCCGGAUGAGCGGAGUACCGAAAACAAAACUGGUACAGCUUUUGGGGAGAGCGGCCGGAUGAGCGGACUACCAAAAAUAAAACAGGGAGUUUUUCAUAAUCUUCUUUCUCUUUUACAUUUAUGGAUUGCUUUUAUUUUGUUGCAUGUAUAGUUAGGAUUAUUUUUAGUCCCGGGACUUGCAUGCAUGCAUUAAUUUUGUUUUUUAAUUUUAUACUAUCAUAUGUUUUAGUGUUUUUCGUUUGUAGGUACAGCUUUUGGGGAGAGCGGCCGGAUGAGCAGACUACCGAAAACAAAACAAGGAGUUUUUCGUACUCUUCUCUUUUACAUUUAUGCAUUGCUUUUAUUUUGUCAUAUUGCAUAUAGAGUUAGGAUUAUUUUUAGUCCCGGGACUUGCAUGCAUGCAUUAAUUUUGUUUCUUAAUUUUAUACUAACAUAUUUUUUAGUGUUUUUGGUUUGUAGGUACAGCUUUUGGGGAGAGCGACCGGAUGAGCGGACUACCGAAAACAAAACAGGGAGUUUUUCGUUGUCUUCUCUUUUAUAUUUAUGCAUUGAAUUUAUUUUAUCAUAUCGCAUAUAGAGUUAGGAUUAUUUUUAGUCCCGGGACUUGCAUGCAUGCAUUAAUUUUGUUUCUUAAUUUUAUACUAACAUAUAUUUUUAGUGUUUUUGGUUUGUAGGUACAGCUUUUGGGGAGAGCUGCCGGUUGAGCAGACUACCGAAAACAAAACAGGGAGUUUUUCGUACUCUUCUCUUUUAUAUUUAUGCAUUGCAUUUAUUUUAUCAUAUUGCAUAUAGAGUUAGGAUUAUUUUUACGUCCCGGGACUUGCAUGCAUGCAUUAAUUUUGUUUCUUAAUUUUAUACUAACAUAUUUUUUAGUGUUUUUGGUUUGUAGGUACAGCUUUUGGGGAGAGCGGCCGGAUGAGUGGACUACCGAAAACAAAACAUGGAGUUUUUCUAUUUUUGGUUUGUAGGUACAGCUUUUGGGGAGAGCGGCCGGAUGAGCGGACUACCGAAAAUAAAACAGGGAGUUUUUCAUACUCUUCUUUCUCUUUUACAUUUAUGCAUUGCUUUUAUUUUAUCAUAUUGCAUAUAGAGUUAGGAUUAUUUUUAGUCCCGGGACUUGCAUGCAUGUAUUAAUUUUGUUUCUUAAUUUUAUACUAACAUAUUUUUUAGUGUUUUUGGUUUGUAGGUACAGCUUUUGGGGAGAGCGGCCGGAUGAGCGGACUACCGAAAACAAAACAGGGAGUUUUUCGUACUCUUCUCUUUUAUAUUUAUGAAUUGCAUUUAUUUUAUCAUAUCACAUAUAGAGUUAGGAUUAUUUUUAGUCCCGGGACUUGCAUGCAUGCAUUAAUUUUGUUUCUUAAUUUUAUACUAACAUAUUUUUUAGUGUUUUUGAUUUGUAGGUACAGCUUUUGGGGAGAACAGCCGGAUGAGCGGAGUACCGAAAACAAAACUGUGUUUUUGGUUUGUAGGUACAGCUUUUGGGGAGAGCGGCCGGAUGAGCGGACUACCAAAAAUAAAACAGGGAGUUUUUCAUAAUCUUCUUUCUCUUUUACAUUUAUGGAUUGCUUUUAUUUUGUUGCAUGUAUAGUUAGGAUUAUUUUUAGUCCCGGGACUUGCAUGCAUGCAUUAAUUUUGUUUUUUAAUUUUAUACUAUCAUAUGUUUUAGUGUUUUUCGUUUGUAGGUACAGCUUUUGGGGAGAGCGGCCGGAUGAGCAGACUACCGAAAACAAAACAAGGAGUUUUUCUGUUUUUGGUUUGUAGGUACAGCUUUUGGGGAGAGCGACCGGAUGAGCGGACUACCGAAAACAAAACAGGGAGUUUUUCGUUGUCUUCUCUUUUAUAUUUAUGCAUUGAAUUUAUUUUAUCAUAUCGCAUAUAGAGUUAGGAUUAUUUUUAGUCCCGGGACUUGCAUGCAUGCAUUAAUUUUGUUUCUUAAUUUUAUACUAACAUAUAUUUUUAGUGUUUUUGGUUUGUAGGUACAGCUUUUGGGGAGAGCUGCCGGUUGAGCAGACUACCGAAAACAAAACAGGGAGUUUUUCGUACUCUUCUCUUUUAUAUUUAUGCAUUGCAUUUAUUUUAUCAUAUUGCAUAUAGAGUUAGGAUUAUUUUUACGUCCCGGGACUUGCAUGCAUGCAUUAAUUUUGUUUCUUAAUUUUAUACUAACAUAUUUUUUAGUGUUUUUGGUUUGUAGGUACAGCUUUUGGGGAGAGCGGCCGGAUGAGUGGACUACCGAAAACAAAACAUGGAGUUUUUCUAUUUUUGGUUUGUAGGUACAGCUUUUGGGGAGAGCGGCCGGAUGAGCGGACUACCGAAAAUAAAACAGGGAGUUUUUCAUACUCUUCUUUCUCUUUUACAUUUAUGCAUUGCUUUUAUUUUAUCAUAUUGCAUAUAGAGUUAGGAUUAUUUUUAGUCCCGGGACUUGCAUGCAUGCAUUAAUUUUGUUUCUUAAUUUUAUACUAACAUAUUUUUUAGUGUUUUUGGUUUGUAGGUACAGCUUUUGGGGAGAGCGGCCGGAUGAGCGGACUACCGAAAAUAAAACAGGAAGUUUUUCGUGCUCUUCUGUUUUAUAUUUAUGCAUUGCAUUUACUUUAUCAAAUUGCAUAUAGAGUUAGGAUUAUUUUUAGUCCCGGGACUUGCAUGUAUGCAUUAAUUUUGUUUCUUAAUUUUUUACUAACAUAUUUUUUAGUGUUUUUGGUUUGUAGGUACAGCUUUUGGGGAGAGCGGCCGGAUGAGCGGACUACCGAAAACAAAACAGGGAGUUUUUCGUACUCUUCUCUUUUAUAUUUAUGAAUUGCAUUUAUUUUAUCAUAUCACAUAUAGAGUUAGGAUUAUUUUUAGUCCCGGGACUUGCAUGCAUGCAUUAAUUUUGUUUCUUAAUUUUAUACUAACAUAUUUUUUAGUGUUUUUGAUUUGUAGGUACAGCUUUUGGGGAGAACAGCCGGAUGAGCGGAGUACCGAAAACAAAACUGUGUUUUUGGUUUGUAGGUACAGCUUUUGGGGAGAGCGGCCGGAUGAGCGGACUACCAAAAAUAAAACAGGGAGUUUUUCAUAAUCUUCUUUCUCUUUUACAUUUAUGGAUUGCUUUUAUUUUGUUGCAUGUAUAGUUAGGAUUAUUUUUAGUCCCGGGACUUGCAUGCAUGCAUUAAUUUUGUUUUUUAAUUUUAUACUAUCAUAUGUUUUAGUGUUUUUCGUUUGUAGGUACAGCUUUUGGGGAGAGCGGCCGGAUGAGCAGACUACCGAAAACAAAACAAGGAGUUUUUCGUACUCUUCUCUUUUACAUUUAUGCAUUGCUUUUAUUUUGUCAUAUUGCAUAUAGAGUUAGGAUUAUUUUUAGUCCCGUGACUUGCAUGCAUGCAUUAAUUUUGUUUCUUAAUUUUAUACUAACAUAUUUUUUAGUGUUUAUAGUUUGUAGGUACAGCUUUUGGGGAGAGCGGCCGGUUGAGCGGACUGCCGAAAAUAAAACAGGGAGUUUUUCGUACUCUUCUCUUUUAUAUUUAUGCAUUGCAUUUAUUUUAUCAUAUCGCAUAUAGAGUUAGGAUUAUUUUUAGUCCCGGGACUUGCAUGCAUUAAUUUUGUUUCUUAAUUUUAUACUAACAUAUUUUUUAGUGUUUUUGGUUUGUAGGUACAGCUUUUGGAGAGAGCGAGAGGCCGGAUGAGCGGACUAUCGAAAACAAAGCAGGGAGUUUUUCGUACUCUUUCUCUUUUACAUUUAUGCAUUGCAUUUAUUUUAUCAUAUGGCAUAUAGAGUUAGGAUUAUUUUUCGUCCCGGGACUUGCAUGCAUGCAUUAAUUUGUUUCUUAAUUUUAUACUAACAUAUUUUUUAGUGUUUUUGGUUUGUAGGUACAGCUUUUGGGGAGAGCGGCCGGAUGAGCAGUUGGACGAGCGGACUACCGAAAAUAAAACAGGGAGUUUUUCGUACUCUUUUCUUUUACAUUUAUGCAUUGUUUUUAUUUUAUCAUAAUACAUAUAGAGUUAGGAUUAUUUUUCGUCACGGGACUUGCAUGCAUGCAUUAAUUUUGUUUCUUAAUUUUAUACUACCAUAUUUUUUAGUGUUUUUG